AACGCACGAGACCUGCGGACCUGCGGAGGGAUCAUUAGUGAACGCCCUCACGGGCUUAUAACUAUUCCAAACCUCUGUGAACCGUGCCCUUCGGGGCUAUUUUACAAACGUGGUGUAAUGAACGUCAUAUAUCAUAACAAAACAAAACUUUUAACAACGGAUCUCU
rnacentral:misc_RNA from 1 species